GAUGAACGCUAGCUACAGGCUUAACACAUGCAAGUCGCGGGGCAGCAUGGGGGUUGCUUGCAAUCCCCGAUGGCGACCGGCGCACGGGUGAGUAACGCGUAUCCAACCUGCCUUCACCACGGGAUAACCCGGCGAAAGUCGGACUAAUACCGUAUGUUGUCCAUUGACGGCAUCCGUUUUGGACGAAAGGUUUGGCGGUGAAGGAUGGGGAUGCGUCCGAUUAGCUGGACGGCGGGGUGACGGCCCACCGUGGCGACGAUCGGUAGGGGUUCUGAGAGGAAGGUCCCCCACACUGGAACUGAGACACAGUCCAGACUCCUACGGGAGGCAGCAGUGAGGAAUAUUGGUCAAUGGGCGUAAGCCUGAACCAGCCAAGUAGCGUGCAGGAGGACGGCCCUAUGGGUUGUAAACUGCUUUUAUGCGGGGAUAAAGUGGCCCACGUGUGGGUUUUUGCAGGUACCGCAUGAAUAAGGACCGGCUAAUUCCGUG
rnacentral:rRNA from 1 species